AUAAUUUUAUUGGAAUUUUAGUUCGUGUAAAAACAAGUACAGUAGAGUGGCGUAAUCGAAGAUAAGUGAGUUGAUAUCUUUGAAGGAAAUACUUGGAAAUUAGUUGCAGCAAUGUCAGUUGAUCGGUUUGGUUUUAUGUUAUUUUUGAGGUUUUAAGAUUAAUUUCCAACGUCAAUAUCGAUUUUGAAAGAAUGUCGCAUGAAUGUUUAAACACGCUCUCAUGAUAAAACAAUUAGAUCAUCCCAUCCAGCAUUAUUAAUAAUUUGCUUACCGGAAAUUAGAACGCAUUGGCCUUUAUUCUCUUCAAUUAAUGACCGGAAAGCAUUAUCCGUUACUGCGUAACUGUUGGCGAAGAAAUAAAAAUAUAAAUGAUAAAAAUAUAGAUUAUUUAUAAACUCAUUUAUGAGACUCUGUUAUUAAUAUAUUAGCUUUAAUUACAACUAGUAUAAAAGACAUUAUGAGUGGUUGGAAAUAGUUAA